rnacentral:rRNA from 1 species
AGGGGUAACAGGAAUUGCUUGCAAUUUGCUGACGACCGGCGCACGGGUGCGUAACGCGUAUAGAACCUACCUUUUACAGAGGGAUAGCCUUUAGAAAUGAAGAUUAAUACCUCAUGGUUCCUAGUCAUUGCAUGAUGAUUAGGAUAAAGAUUUAUCGGUAGAAGAUGGCUAUGCGUCCUAUUAGCUAGUAGGUAUGGUAACGGCAUACCUAGGCGACGAUAGGUAGGGGCCCUGAGAGGGGGAUCCCCCACACUGGUACUGAGACACGGACCAGACUCCUACGGGAGGCAGCAGUGAGGAAUAUUGGGCAAUGGAGGCAACUCUGACCCAGCCAUGCCGCGUGCAGGAAGACUGCCCUAUGGGUUGUAAACUGCUUUUAUACAGGAAGAAACACUCCCUCGUGAGGGAGCUUGACGGUACUGUAAGAAUAAGGAUCGGCUAACUCCGUGCCAGCAGCCGCGGUAAUACGGAGGAUCCAAGCGUUAUCCGGAAUCAUUGGGUUUAAAGGGUCCGUAGGUGGAUUAAUAAGUCAGAGGUGAAAUCCUGCAGCUCAACUGUAGAACUGCCUUUGAUACUGUUAAUCUUGAGUUAUUAUGAAGUAGUUAGAAUAUGUAGU